UACGUAGGGGGCAAGCGUUGUCCGGAAUCAUUGGGCGUAAAGAGCGUGUAGGCGGCCAGAUAAGUCCGCUGUGAAAUCUCGAGGCUCAACUUCGAGCUGUCGGUGGAAACUGUCUGGCUAGAGUCCGGAAGAGGAGAAUGGAAUUCCUGGUGUAGCGGUGAAAUGCGCAGAUAUCAGGAAGAACACCCGUGGCGAAGGCGGGUCUCUGGGCCGUAACUGACGCUGAGGAGCGAAAGCAUGGGGAGCGAACAGG
rnacentral:rRNA from 1 species